UGCCCAAUAGCUCAGAGGUAGAGCGGUCGGCUGUUAACCGGCUUGUCGUAGGUUCGAUCCCUACUUGGGCAGCCA
rnacentral:tRNA from 5 species